rnacentral:rRNA from 1 species
UGCUUAACCCUAAAUAUAACCUACACUACAAACGCCAGGGAACUACGAGCCACGCUUAAAACCCAAAGGACUUGACGGUGUCCCAUCCAACUAGAGGAGCCUGUUCUAUAAUUGAUAAUCCACACUCAACCUUACCCCUACUAGCCCCAGCCUGUAUACCUCCGUCACAAGCCUACUAUGUGAAUAUUAGAUAGUAGGCCUAAUUAACUACCCUAAACACGUCAGGUCAAGGUGCAGCCAAUGUUAGGGAAAGCAAUGGGCUACAAUUUCUAAAUUAGAAUAAACGAAAAUUCAUAUGAAACUAUGAUUUGAAGGCGGAUUUAGCAGUAAGAGUAGAACAGAGAGCUACUCUUAACUAGGACCCGGGCCGCGU